rnacentral:tRNA from 1 species
CAAAAAGUAGUAUAUUUUAUUACCCCUCGUUUACACCGAGUUAAAGGUCCUACACCCUUUUUGA